UGAGGAAUCUUGCGCAAUGGGGGAAACCCUGACGCAGCAACGCCGCGUGAGUGAAGAAGGCCUUCGGGUCGUAAAGCUCUGCCGGGUGGGAAGAAAUAUAUGUAGACGAAUACUCUGCAUAUUUGACGGUACCGCCAAAGGAAGCACCGGCUAACUCCGUGCCAGCAGCCGCGGUAAUACGGGGGGUGCAAGCGUUGUUCGGAAUUAUUGGGCGUAAAGAGCGUGUAGGCGGCGGAAUAAGUCAGAUGUGAAAGCCCUGGGCUCAACUCAGGAAGUGCAUUUGAUACUGCUUCGCUUGAGUACUGGGGAGGGAAGAGGAAUUCCUGGUGUAGAGGUGAAAUUCGUAGAUAUCAGGAGGAACACCGGUGGCGAAGGCGACUUCCUGGCCAGAUACUGACGCUGAGACGCGAGAGCGUGGGGAGCAAACAGG
rnacentral:rRNA from 1 species